rnacentral:lncRNA from 10 species
UUUUUGCAUACCACUUUCAAAAUAUGGAGUCCAAUUCCCCUUUCCUAAUGUGAACUGAACUUAGGGAUUUGCUUCUAAUGAAUAGAAAAUUGUGGAAGUGAUAUUGGGCCACCUCUGGGCUAGGUUAGCAAAGGUGACACAGCUCUGCCGGUCUCCUGCUCUCAUGGGUAAACAUGCCUAAGGAGCCCUGAGACAGUAUACUAGAGGAACUGCCACCCUGAAAACACAGUGCUGGAGAGAGAUUCCAGGGAGAGACAUAGAGACACAGAAAGAGGUGCCCGAGGAUCUCAGCUGUCCAGCCCCUGUUAUUUGAAUCAUUUCAGCCCUGGCACCAGAGAGAUGAGAGGAGAAACCUGACAAUAUCCCCAGCCUGAGCCAUCACCAGACUCCAUCCUCCUGAGUGCCCCUGAACCAGCAUCACCGCUGAACACUCUGGAAGACCUACAGAAACUGAGAGAAGGUUCUGCAAAGAGCUGUAAGGAUGCACUGAAUAUUUGCCGUUGCGGAUGAGGCUGCUGGAGCAUUGGAGAUCCAUUCAUCAUGCCAAAGUGUAGCUCAGGGAGUCACCUCCAUGGAAAAUGUGUGCUUUCCAAACGUGGCUACCAGGUCGUUGUGGAAUUCCAUCCAGAAGCACCUUGUUCUUCCAUCGCCAUCAUUCUGGACAAGGCAGAAUCCACAUUCCCCAUAUUACUAACUUUAAAGCAGAAAUGUUACGCCUUUGCCUGUAAUUGAAAUUGUAGUCAUUUGAAAAUCAAAUAUUGCUAAAAUUUGAUGUUAGAGGGAUAGAUGAUCAAUAAUUGGGUUGAAAGAAUACUGUCUCUCAUUAAGCAAAAUGAAAAUGUUUUCAGAGAUUUGUGAAAUGUUUUGCUAUGAAGACUUUUCACUGCAAAGCACCCACUUUGUUUAAAGCAAUAAGGCAACGUGCUGGAUGAACGUAAAGAAGUUUUCAACACAGAACUUCACAAUAAAAAUGGUAAGAAAUGCACACAAACCAUGGAAAUCAAGUGCUGUAAGAGUGUGUUUUAUAAAAGUGGCUGAAGGAAAUGCUUUGGACAUUUCUAUUAAUUAUAGCCAAUGUUCAUGGAUCUGUAUGCUGAGUACACACCUAGGCAUUUGCAUUUCAUUAUUUCUUUGAACUCUUUCAAAAGCCCUGAGGUCUUUAUGAUUAUCUCCAUUUCACAAAUGAUGAUACAGAGGAACAGGGAAAGCAAGUGAU